rnacentral:rRNA from 1 species
CGGAGAGGGAGCAUGAGAAACGGCUACCACAUCUAAGGAAGGCAGCAGGCACGAAAAUUACCCAAUCCCAAUUCGGGGAGGUAGUGACAAGAAAUAACAAUACGGGGUCUUUAUAGGUCUCGCAAUUGGAAUGAGUACAAUUUAAAUCCUUUAACGAGGACCCAUUGGAGGGCAAGUCUGGUGCCAGCAGCCGCGGUAAUUCCAGCUACAAUAGCGUAUAUUAAAGUUGUUGCAGUUAAAAAGCUCGUAGUUGGAUUUCGGGGCCUGGACGGCUGUCACCCACUGGGUAGGCGUGCCGUCCGGGUCCUUUACUUCCGGGGACGGCGUCACAAUUGAUUUUGGGGCGUUCGGACGCGGAUCGUUUACUUUGAAAAAAUUAGAGUGUUCAAAGCAGGCCUUCGCUUGAAUACAUUAGCAUGGAAUAAUGGAAUAGGACUCUGGGCCUAUUUUGUUGGUUUCUGGGACUAGAGUAAUGAUUAAUAGGGACAGUUGGGGGCGUUCAUAUUCCGAUGUCAGAGGUGAAAUUCUUGGAUUUUCGGAAGAUGAACUUCUGCGAAAGCAUUCGCCAAGGAUGUUUUCAUUAAUCAAGAACGAAAGUUAGGGGAUCGAAGACGAUCAGAUACCGUCGUAGUCUUAACCAUAAACUAUGCCGACUCAGGAUCAGGCGAUGCCGACUUCGACACGCUUGGCACUGUGUGAGAAAUCAAAGUUUUUGGGUUCCGGGGGGAGUAUGGUCGCAAGGCUGAAACUUAAAGGAAUUGACGGAAGGGCACACCAGUAGUGGAGCCUGCGGCUUAAUUUGACUCAACACGGGGAAACUUACCAGGUCCAGACACAGUAAGGAUUGACAGACUGAGAGCUCUUUCUUGAUUCUGUGGGUGGUGGUGCAUGGCCGUUCUUAGUUGGUGGAGUGAUUUGUCUGGUUAAUUCCGAUAACGAACGAGACCUCAGCCUGCUAACUAGGUCGUCGAUCCACGCGAUCGGUCGACCUUCUUAGAGGGACUAUUCGUGUUUAACGAAGGGAAGUUUGAGGCAAUAACAGGUCUGUGAUGCCCUUAGAUGUCCUGGGCCGCACGCGCGCUACACUGAUGCAGGCAACAAGUUCUCUACCUUAACCGAAAGGCCUGGGUAAACUUCAAAACUGCAUCGUGCUGGGGAUAGACUAUUACAAUUAUUAGUCUUCAACGAGGAAUUUCUAGUAAGCGCGAGUCAUCAGCUCGCGUUGAUUACGUCCCUGCCCUUUGUACACACCGCCCGUCGCUCCUACCGAUUGAAUGGUCCGGUGAAGCUUUCGGACGACGACGGUUUUGGGUUCUGCCCAUGCCUGUCUGUCGGAAGUCAUCUAAACCUUACCAUUUAGAGGAAGGAGAAGUCGUAACAAGGUAACC